CCAUUAAUUCCGCCAAUAUUGUCAUAAAAUAGCGGAAGCCUUAACUUGUCAGUACCGGUACGGUAAUAAAGCAAGAAAUUCCAGUUAGAACAUUCGGCUAUAAUAAAAUAGCAUUAAUAUCGAUUUUCCGGAAGUUGUGGAUUUUCAAACAAGGUGGUCAUCAUUGCAUUUUCUCACACAAAAUUUCAUGAAAUUAAUGAAAAAAACCCGACAAUUAUUACCAAGGACUGCAACAGAGAUUUGACAAGUCAAGUCUACAGGGAAAAAUAGAUUCAAUUAUAAAGGAAACUUAAACUUUCAAAAAUAUUCAUUAUCCUCUGUUCCCUUAACGCCUGUUGGACUCAAUUUACUCUUCCAGGGCUGGAAUGCUGAAUUUUUCACCCUAUAGAUUGGCCCAGUUAAUACCGGCGAAAAAGUCGACACAUUAUCAAUAUUAAUUUGCUAAAAACUAUUUGAAUAAGGCUAAUGCGGAUAUAACAUUGAAUACCCACGCCCGGAGCGACUUCCUAUAUAUUCCUAGAAUGCUUCUAGGUGCAUUCUAGUGUACCGCGGCUUCUGAAAGCUUUAUAUAAAUUUUCGAUUCUUCCAGCUAAAUCCAAAUCGAAACGAUGUUGCUGAGGCUUUUGGCAAUUUGCAUGCUUCUUUUCGUGUCAAGCGUACGCGCCAAUGUGAUCCGAUGUGACCUGAUAGAGCCGCAUAGUAGAGAAAGCGAGCUGUGCUGGAAACAGCUCCUCUACAAAAACUACCCCAUGGUGCCGCAAAUGGACGAAGACCAGAGCGAUCCAGAGCUGCAUGGGUUGCAGGCCAGAAACUCUGAGCUGAGCAGCGCUCUGAUGCAACUCUACGGAUUCAAUCGACUGAACGGAAAACGAAAUCCUGAAUUUUCCAGGGAUGUUGUGCGGCUCAUUUCCGACAUCAACCCCUAUAAGGAAAAUUAGAGCUUAGAGAGAGUUUGAAAUGCAGUGGCAAAUAAAGUAGUGUAGAACAAGCGAACAUUAAA